UACGUAGGGGUCGAGCGUUGUCCGGAGUACUGGGCGUAAAGCGUGUGCAGGCGGCUCAUUGCGCCCGGCGUGAAAGCCCCCCGGCUCAACCGGGGAGAGUCGUCGGGGACGGGUGAGCUUGAGGGUAUCAGGGGCUGGUGGAAUUCCCGGUGUAGUGGUGAAAUGCGUAGAGAUCGGAAAGAACACCAACGGCGAAAGCACUCUGCUGGGCCGACACUGAUACUGAGAGACGAAAGCUAGGGGAGCGAAUGGG
rnacentral:rRNA from 1 species